UACGAGGGGGGCGAGCGUUGUUCGGAAUUAUUGGGCGUAAAGGGUGCGUAGGCGGUUUGGUAAGUCUUAUGUGAAAUCUAUGGGCUCAACUCAUAGUCUGCAUGAGAAACUGCCGGGCUUGAGUAUGGGAGAGGUGAGUGGAAUUCCUGGUGUAGCGGUGAAAUGCGUAGAUAUCAGGAGGAACGCCUGUGGCGAAAGCGGCUCACUGGACCAUAACUGACGCUGAUGCACGAAAGCUAGGGGAGCAAACAGG
rnacentral:rRNA from 1 species